rnacentral:rRNA from 1 species
UACGUAGGGUGCGAGCGUUAAUCGGAUUUACUGGGCGUAAAGCGCGCGUAGGUGGCCAAUUAAGUCAAAUGUGAAAUCCCCGAGCUUAACUUGGGAAUUGCAUUCGAUACUGGUUGGCUAGAGUAUGGGAGAGGAUGGUAGAAUUCCAGGUGUAGCGGUGAAAUGCGUAGAGAUCUGGAGGAAUACCGAUGGCGAAGGCAGCCUUCUGGCAUCAUACUGACACUGAGGUUCGAAAGCGUGGGUAGCAAACAGG